AGCAGAUGGCCGAGCCUCCGAGCGCGGCCAGGCGCGGCGAGCUGAUGGCAGAGCCUCCGAGCGCCAGGCGCGGCGAGCAGAUGGCAGAGCCCCCGAGCGCGAUAAACGCGGCGGGAUUGCCGAGGAGGAACUGAGGUCCGGGCGAUUUUCUGUGCGGCCGGAGUAACCAGAUUUCUCUGUUGGGUCACCCGGCGGUGUUCAGGGGUCACUCCUGGUGGGGAUCCGGGGACCUCAGUUGGUGCCGGGGAUCGAACAUGGGCCAACCGCCUACAAAUGUAGCGAGCGCCCUACUCCCUGCAUUAUCUCUUCGAGGUCUCACUCUGCUCCGUAACUGCCGCGGUGUAACCUGGACCAUUGGCGUCUUGGCUCUCGGAAAUUGCAGUUCUGCCGUUUAUUGUGUGUUGAUGCUGGCGGGGUGUGGGCCCUCUUCCAGGGAGGCGAGCUCGCAUGACUUUCUUACUCGUGUAUCUGGGAAGCUGAGAAGUCAGACUGAGCCUGAACCUCCGAGAUGGAGUAAGGAAUAUCUUAGCGGAAAGACCACAUCGCGGGCUGGGCGCUUGCACGUGGCUCAGUCCCCAGCACUCCGUCUGCUUCCCCGAGCUGAGUGCUGCGCCAGGGGUGUUCCUCCUGGGCUUCUUGUUCAUCUGCUCAGAAGAAAAUCAGCUGCUGUGGGGGACCGAGACCCUGGGAAAAGGAGAACUUAGCCAUUUCCCCAGACAGGGAGUGCCCACCAAGAUAUUGUAGCGCCUCUUCAGACCCUGAAAUAACUUGGUCCAGCAGGACGGGACAAGCUGCCAUGUUGUAAUCUGCCCUGUGGAGAAUACCAAGGAACUGAGAAUGGAGACAAGCCUCUGAUGAUGGCCAUAAGGAACCACAACCCUCAUUCAACAACUGGAAGGACUUACAUGGAACAGAACCCCUCUGACAGCCAUGGAAGCACUUCUGGAAGAGGCUCUUCAGCCAUCAGUGCUUCAGAAAAGACUAGGAUCCCAUCCUACAUCCAAACUGAAGCCCAAGACACUUGAUUUGAGAUGCCCAGUUAAUCUGUACCAAUUCUUGGCCCAUAGGAGAUGGAGAAAUGUUUCACUGUUUUUUUUUGUUUUGUUUUGUUUUUUUACUUUUUUUUUUUUUUUUUUUUUUGCU